AUCCGAGCUUAAACCCGCACAUUUUGUUUUCACAGACUAACGUCGCCUCAUAACGAAGCCGUGACUUCCUAUUUGCUUGGGGCUAUUUCAGCAAGUCCAGAUUUAACUGCUGAGAAUGACGACAUUGUUUCUGCCUGUAAGACGUAUUAUGAGUCGGUACGCCGGAGCUUCAGAUACAAACAACCUGAACUCGCAUCGCAGGCGGAAAAUGCGAAAUGUGUAGCUCGGGGGGGUCGAUCCAGAAGAAAAGGGUUGCUGGAAGCGAGACGAAAUGUGCUGGCUGAGGAUGAGAUGGACAUUUGGAAGUGCGCCACCAUAGAUCUCAUGUCUGAUGAGGAAGACGGCAUUGUUGACGGGGUGUCUGGAUGGAUUGUGCGGCCACUGCCCUCUCGCAGCCUGGAACUCUUCGAGCGCUGUGCCACGCUGAAAUCCAGAUUAGAGGCGAUACCAAAGUACAUGGCAACUCACCAUAUAUUCCUGCAAAAGUGACUUUUUUACAACGUUUUUGAGUUUUUUUCUCUUUUUUCAACACUUUGAUCACUUUGAAAAAGAUUUUUAGGGAUCUUUCCUGAAUGUCUUGGGCACUUUUUGACGUGUUUGGAGAACAACAUAAGAGACAUUAUGCUGCUUUGUACAUAGUUGUGUGUUUCUAAUUAAAGCUCUUUCUUUGAAUAAACAGCUGUGUGUUUAUAAAUAAACCUCUUUGUUUUCUCUUAUAUUUCUUGAUGGUGUGAAUAAUGUAGUACAUAGAACAAUGACAUUAAUAUAUAAAAAAUUAUUAUAACAUAAAUUAUAUAUUUAUUAUUAUUAUUGGGGUUUACAUUUAUAAUGAGCCAGGGUGCCCAAUAACCCCCCU